rnacentral:rRNA from 1 species
GCAGUCGUACGCUUUUUCUUUCCCGGAGCUUGCUCCACCGAAAGAAAAGGAGUGGCGAACGGGUGAGUAACACGUGGGUAACCUGCCCAUCAGAAGGGGAUAACACUUGGAAACAGGUGCUAAUACCGUAUAACAAUCGAAACCGCAUGGUUUUGAUUUGAAAGGCGCUUUCGGGUGUCGCUGAUGGAUGGACCCGCGGUGCAUUAGCUAGUUGGUGAGGUAACGGCUCACCAAGGCCACGAUGCAUAGCCGACCUGAGAGGGUGAUCGGCCACAUUGGGACUGAGACACGGCCCAAACUCCUACGGGAGGCAGCAGUAGGGAAUCUUCGGCAAUGGACGAAAGUCUGACCGAGCAACGCCGCGUGAGUGAAGAAGGUUUUCGGAUCGUAAAACUCUGUUGUUAGAGAAGAACAAGGAUGAGAGUAACUGUUCAUCCCUUGACGGUAUCUAACCAGAAAGCCACGGCUAACUACGUGCCAGCAGCCGCGGUAAUACGUAGGUGGCAAGCGUUGUCCGGAUUUAUUGGGCGUAAAGCGAGCGCAGGCGGUUUCUUAAGUCUGAUGUGAAAGCCCCCGGCUCAACCGGGGAGGGUCAUUGGAAACUGGGAGACUUGAGUGCAGAAGAGGAGAGUGGAAUUCCAUGUGUAGCGGUGAAAUGCGUAGAUAUAUGGAGGAACACCAGUGGCGAAGGCGACUCUCUGGUCUGUAACUGACGCUGAGGCUCGAAAGCGUGGGGAGCAAACAGGAUUAGAUACCCUGGUAGUCCACGCCGUAAACGAUGAGUGCUAAGUGUUGGAGGGUUUCCGCCCUUCAGUGCUGCAGCUAACGCAUUAAGCACUCCGCCUGGGGAGUACGACCGCAAGGUUGAAACUCAAAGGAAUUGACGGGGGCCCGCACAAGCGGUGGAGCAUGUGGUUUAAUUCGAAGCAACGCGAAGAACCUUACCAGGUCUUGACAUCCUUUGACCACUCUAGAGAUAGAGCUUCCCCUUCGGGGGCAAAGUGACAGGUGGUGCAUGGUUGUCGUCAGCUCGUGUCGUGAGAUGUUGGGUUAAGUCCCGCAACGAGCGCAACCCUUAUUGUUAGUUGCCAUCAUUUAGUUGGGCACUCUAGCAAGACUGCCGGUGACAAACCGGAGGAAGGUGGGGAUGACGUCAAAUCAUCAUGCCCCUUAUGACCUGGGCUACACACGUGCUACAAUGGGAAGUACAACGAGUCGCGAAGUCGCGAGGCUAAGCUAAUCUCUUAAAGCUUCUCUCAGUUCGGAUUGUAGGCUGCAACUCGCCUACAUGAAGCCGGAAUCGCUAGUAAUCGCGGAUCAGCACGCCGCGGUGAAUACGUUCCCGGGCCUUGUACACACCGCCCGUCACACCACGAAAGUUUGUAACACCCGAAGUCGGUGAGGU